GAAGCAAGUCAUAUUUAUGGGACAUCUACAUCCAAUCAAAGAAUUGAAUCCUGGUGGGCACAGUACAGAAAACAACGUUCACAGUUCUGGAUGGACCUUUUCGAAGAUCUGAAAGACUUGGGCCAUUUCAACGGCAGUCAUGAACACAAAUGUUUGCUACGCUUCUGUUUCACUGAUAUCCUGCAGAAAGACCUAGAGGAAUGCAAGCAACUAUGGAACCAGCAUAGAAUCAGACCUUCCAGAAUGUCUACGUGCCCCCCAGGAAUUCCUAACGAAUUGUACAGUUUGCCUCACAGGUUUUGGUCAAGGGAUUGUGGUUUUCAUGUUGCACAGCAGCAGCUUCAGGACCUGAGGGACCAAUGUGAAACUGUUGGUCUUUGUGGAGAUGAAGAUAUACAAGAUUACCUCACAUAUGUGAAAGAACAAUAUGACCUUCAAACACCACAAGUCUGGGAAGAUGCCCUGGAUUUAUUCUUUAAGUUGAAGGAAAAGACAAAUGUUUGAUAACAGCAAUACAGCAGAUGCAAGCUUUCAGAAAAAGCAAAACAUGUAUAAGUUAAAAAACACUUAGAUCAGUUUUGUUAACUUGUGCAAAAAAGUACUAUGGCAAGCCGAAUUAACAUUCAGAGAUAUCUCAAAAUGAAUUUCAGAUAUCUUAAAAUGUAAUUUACUUUUAUGAUACCUGAAACUCGCCUUAAGAGAUCUUAAAAUAAUUUCCUUCAUAU